AAUCCUAUCAAGUAACACCUUUCAAAAUAAAAUAACAACUUUUUUCAGAACAAAUCUUGACCAUCUCGUUUUCAUAUUACUAUCAAGAAGGCUCAUCAUGUCUAUAAAAAGUUGAGUACCUUUAACCAUAAAAGUAUCCGAACCAUCAAGAUUCUAUCUCCACCAUUAAAAAUAUUGAAAUUAUCCAACAAAGAAGUAAGCUCAUGCAAUUGUUGAUUUAGCACCCCAAAUGAUUGGUCUCGACCUCAACCAAAUCCAUCCAUUUUGCCAUCUAUAAGAAACCAAAAAGUGAGAAUUCAAAUCGAGAUAGUAGACUGGAGAGAACCUAUACUAUAACGUCCCAUUUUCAAAACCAAAAAUUUUCAUUUUUAAUAAGGUAAAAUCCCACAAUUAUAAAACAUAUGUUAAGAAAACCAUUUGUUCCAGAUUACAUUUGUUAAAAAUUAAAUUAAUAUAAAUAACGCAGAAUCCUUAAUGUUUCUAAUGAGUGUGUACAGUCAUGCCUUCACCUUCCCACGAUCACCGAUGAUACCUGAAAACAUAAACAGUUGGGUAAGCACAAAACUUAGUGAGUUUCUCCUAAAACACCACAUACCAUAAAAAUAACAUCAUGCAUACUAGGUUCACAUUCAUCAGACUGGAUUACCCGAGUUUUGUUAGUUUGCUGCAAUUGUUGAUUUAGCACCCCAAAUGAUUGGUCUCGACCUCAACCAAAUCCAUCCAUUUUGCCAUCUAUAAGAAACCAAAAAGUGAGAAUUCAAAUCGAGACAGUAGAGUGGAGAGAACCUAUACUAUAACGUCCCGUUUUCAAAACAAAAAAUUUUCAUUUUUAAUAAGGUAAAAUCCCACAAUUAUAAAACAUAUGUUAAGAAAACCAUUUGUUCCAGAUUACAUUUGUUAAAAAUUAAAUUAAUAUAAAUAACACAGAAUCCUUAAUGUUUCUAAUGAGUGUGUACAGUCAUGCCUUCACCUUCCCACGAUCACCGAUGAUACCUGAAAACAUAAACAGCUGGGUAAGCACAAAACUUAGUGAGUUUCUCCUAAAACACCACAUACCAUAAAAAUAACAUCAUGCAUACUAGGUUCACAUUCAUCAGACUGGAUUACCCGAGGUUUGUUAGUCUGCUGCUUCAACCUAACCGCUCAUCCCGAGGUUUUGUACCUACGACUUACAACCGACCCACACUUGGUAUCUUGGCCUACAUCACACAGUAAGACCGCCUCAACCU
rnacentral:lncRNA from 1 species